AUUGAACGCUGGCGGCAGGCCUAACACAUGCAAGUCGAGCGGGGUUUUCGGACCUAGCGGCGGACGGGUGAGUAAUGCGUAGGAAGCUACCCGAUAGAGGGGGAUACCAGUUGGAAACGACUGUUAAUACCGCAUAAUGUCUACGGACCAAAGUGUGGGACCUUCGGGCCACAUGCUAUCGGAUGCGCCUACGUGGGAUUAGCUAGUUGGUGGGGUAAUGGCUCACCAAGGCGACGAUCCCUAGCUGGGUUGAGAGGAUGAUCAGCCACACUGGAACUGAGACACGGUCCAGACUCCUACGAGAGGCAGCAGUGGGGAAUAUUGGACAGUGGGCGCAAGCCUGAUACAGCCAUGCCGCGUGUGUGAAGAAGGCCUUCGGGUUGUAAAGCACUUUCAGUAGGGAGGAAGGUUGUUGUGUUAAUAGCACAGCAUUUUGACGUUACCUACAGAAGAAGCACCGGCUAACUCUGUGCCAGCAGCCGCCGUAAAAC
rnacentral:rRNA from 1 species